AGCACAAGACAACUCGACCAUUCUCGAGACCCAGCAACCCGACCGAAAUUUCUGUUUUAGGCGACCAAAUGACGGAGAACCGCCGGCGUCUGUUCGUCUCGUCAGCACCGAUCUACUUUUGGUCUCAGCUUUCCCGUGCGAUGAAGGACGGAAUCCUGAAUCUUCAGUCAGUAUCUGGGAAUUCAAUUCCCGCCAUGCCAAAAACCCUCAAUCUAGGUAUUCCAGGAGCAUGGUUUCUGCUUUAGUGUCUACACCACGUGCUAGACAAAGAAGCUAGCCUCGGCAGCGAAGGCUCUGAAAGCUCCAGCGUACAAGAAGUAGCGACCAGUAUUAUGAGAGAUCACCAACUCGCUGGAUCUCGUUUCGGUUUCGAAAUCGGCACCGAAGAAACAGAAAAUUGAGUCGCAGAAGGAGAAGAAGAGGGACUCAAGACGGAGAUAGGUGUAAGCUCGAUUGAUCCGUUCAAAUGUGCUUACUCUUUUUCUAUGUAUAAGCAUCUUCAUAAAUUGGAGGUGGAGGGGAAGAAUAGACCUUUAUGUGGUUACAUGGAGAAGGUGCAGAAUUGUAUUUCAGAACAUAUGCUAGAAGUCCUGGUGGAUUGGUUGGUGGAGCUUGUGGAGGAAUACAAGUUUGUUUCAAACACCCUUUAUCUUACCAUAUCAUAUAUUGACAGAUACCUUUCCAACUCAUAAUCGAAACACCAGAUUGGAGCGUUAGUUUUGUAUUAAGUGUGAAGUAUUUGCUACUGUAUUAGUUCUUGAUUGCUUGUGUUUUGUUCUUGUAUUUAAAUGUUUGGGUUUUAGGUUUGGUGUGGUUCGGAGGGGAUUGAAAUUUGAAGCUAUAUUUCGGGUAAAAACUGUAAUUCAAUUCAAUUCCAUUGUUGCAUAUGCAUGAUACAAUGGUUAUUUAAAUAGAAGAAGGAAAAGGAUGAAGUGGGGGUAGAAGAAACUGGUAUGGAAGAUGGAGAUUAUGCUGAGAAUGUUGCACCUCAACAUUCGGAUGAGAAGAAAAAGAAGAAAAGAAAGCGAAAGCAAGUGCUUGACAUUCGAUUUGAAGCAGAAGCAUUCGAGCAAUCGGGAGGCCGUUUGAAAAGAAAGGAGCGCAAGAAAAAGUACUUGGAAGCAAAGAAAAACAAAAACAAAAAGGGCAAGAAAGAAGAUAAUGUAGGCGAUGACGAGUGUAGUAGCAGAACACGAGUACAAAGGCAGCAGCAGAAUUGGAUGAGCAUGACUGAAGUGAGUACAGUAGCAUGAUUGGACGAGUGCAGUAGCAGGAUGAGGCGAUGACUAGUGCAGUAAUAGAACACGAGUGCAAGUGCAGUAACAGAACUGGACGAGUAUGAGUACAUUAGCAGGAUUGGAAGAGUGCAGUAGCAGGAUUAGGCAAUGACUAGUGUAGUAGCAGAACACGAGUAGCAGAACUUGACGAGGAUGAGUGCAGUAGCAGGAU